rnacentral:lncRNA from 1 species
GUUGUGUCCACCGCAAACUAAAAAAUAAAUAAUUCUCUCUCUCUAAAAAUAAAUCUUUCCAUUUAAAAAAAAAAAUAAACUUAGGGUGAAGCCAGCCUAAGCUACCUGCUGCCAUCAGCUGUAGGCCCACACAGGGCAGAUGAAAUAGUGAAAGAGUCACAUGCUUGACUGCACUCCCUGUACUAAAGCAUAGCUUCCCACCUCAGGGGAGAGGUCCUAUCUCUAGGGAACUUGAUGCUGAUGAAGGAAGGUACAGUGGAGCUUCAAAUGACUACCCUCUUCACUGUGAAGGAUAAGGGGGAUGGGGUUGUGGCUCAGUGAUAGCGAGCUUGCCUAGCAUGCGUGAGGCACUAGGUUUGAUUCUCAGCAUCACAUAAAAAUAAAUAAAAUAGAGGUCAUCAACAACUAAAAAAUAUUUUUUUUAAAAAAAGGAGGAUAAGGGCACUUCACUAUAUUCCAGUGUGGACCUGCAGAAUUUUAUCCAUGUGACAUUACCUAAUCAAAGAAUUAACGUAAAGAUGCAUGGUAUGCCAGUUAAAACAUGCAACUUGCAGGGGAAAUGACUGGCCUUCUGCCACACAAGUUAGCAGCCAUCCCUUGGUGUCUGCAGUGGCUCAAGUUCCUUACUAAAUGGUGCACCGUGUGCACAUAACUUGCACACAUCCUCCUAUAUAUUCCAAGUCACUCG